UACAGGGGGUGCAAACGUUGCUCGGAAUCAUUGGGCGUAAAGCGCACGUAGGCGGUUCGUUAUGUCGGAUGUGAAAGCCCUUGGCUUAACCGAGGAAGUGCAUCCGAAACUGGCGAGCUAGAGUACGAAAGAGGAUCGCGGAAUUCCCGGUGUAGAGGUGAAAUUCGUAGAUAUCGGGAGGAACACCGGUGGCGAAGGCGACGAUCUGGGUCGAUACUGACGCUGAGGUGCGAAAGCGUGGGGAGCAAACAGGG
rnacentral:rRNA from 1 species